rnacentral:SRP_RNA from 1 species
GCCAGGCGUGGUGGCACACACCUGUAGUCCCAACUACUUGGGGGCUGAGGCAGGAGGAUCACUUGAACCCUGGAGGUCUAGGCUGCAGUGAGCCAAAAUCAGGCCACUGCACUCCAGCCUAGGCAACAAAGUGAGAUCCUGUUUCGA